GUUGCUUUAGUAUAAAUUAGUAUUGUUUCUUUUCGUGGAACAGGUGUAAAUUUAAUUACAGGCAGAU
rnacentral:tRNA from 1 species